rnacentral:lncRNA from 1 species
AUCAUUGAAAAAUCAAUUGAAAAUUGUGGAAUAAAUGAAUCCUAAUUUCUUUCGUGUCAAUUGAAACCUUAAAUCGAGUUGUUGAAAAUUUUGCCUUUUGCUUAUGUCUAAGUAGGGAGCAUUAUUGAAUAAAUUUGGUUUUGGAAUCUAAAGUUGGGGAGAUUAAAGUGAAAAGUUGAUUAGAAACUUGGAAAAGUGAGUUUUUAUGAAAGGGUGAAAAUUUGAAAAGAAACAAGAAAAAGAAAAUACCCUUGAAACCAUAGAGCAUAGAAAAAAGAUUAGAAAAAGAAGAGCAAAGAAAAUGCUCAUGGUUGUGUGGAGUUGAA